rnacentral:rRNA from 1 species
AAGUCGUAACAAGGUUUCCGUAGGUGAACCUGCGGAAGGAUCAUUAAUGAAAAUGAGAAGGGUUGCAGCUGGCCUCUAGGGGCAUGUGCUCGCCCUGAUCCACCUCUCUUACACCUGUGCACAACCUGUAGCUUGGGAUGAUCACAGAGUCGGAAACGGCUUUGAAAGCCCUUGCUAUGAAUUUUUACACACGCAUAUACAAGUCGUAGAAUGUAUAAAGUUAUAUCAGCGUGUAACAGCGCGAAUAAAUACAACUUUCAGCAACGGAUCUCUUGGCUCUCGCAUCGAUGAAGAACGCAGCGAAAUGCGAUAAGUAAUGUGAAUUGCAGAAUUCAGUGAAUCAUCGAAUCUUUGAACGCACCUUGCGCUCCUUGGUAUUCCGAGGAGCAUGCCUGUUUGAGUGUCAUGAAAUUCUCAACUGCCUUGACAUUUUUUAUGUUUGAAGGUGAAGUUGGAUUUUGGAGGAUAAUUGCUGGCGCAACUCAGGUUNCUUGUUGGCUCCUCUUGAAUGGAUGAGAUUUCCAGUGGAUCAUGGUGAAGUAACACUGAUGUGAUAAUUAUCUACAUUGGAUUGUGAACGCUGUGAGCAGAGUAAACCCUCCUGCUGGAAAGACGUGGCUGUUAUUAUAUGACAAAUUUGACCUCAAAUCAGGUAGGACUACCCGCUGAACUUAAGCAUAUCAAUAAGCGGAGGAAANGAAACUAACAAGGAUUCCCCUAGUAACUGCGAGUGAAGCGGGAAAAGCUCAAAUUUAAAAUCUGGCGUGCCUUUGGUCGUCCGAGUUGUAGUCUGGAGAAGUGUUUUCCGUGCUGGACCGUGUACAAGUCCCUUGGAACAGGGCGUCAUAGAGGGUGAGAAUCCCGUCUUUGACACGGACUACCAGUGCUUUGUGAUGCGCUCUCAAAGAGUCGAGUUGUUUGGGAAUGCAGCUCAAAAUGGGUGGUAAAUUCCAUCUAAGGCUAAGUAUAGGCGAGAGACCGAUAGCGAACAAGUACCGUGAGGGAAAGAUGAAAAGCACUUUGGAAAGAGAGUUAAACAGUACGUGAAAUUGCUGAAAGGGAAACGCUUGAAGUCAGUCGUGUCUAACGGGACUCAGCCUUGCUUUUGCUUGGUGCACUUUCCGAUUUGACAGGCCAGCAUCGAUUUUGACCGUUGGAGAAAGGUUCUGGGAAUGUGGCACCUUUUUGGUGUGUUAUAGCCCUCUAUUGUAUACAACGGUUGGGAUUGAGGACCGCAGCACGCCUUUAUGGCCGGGGUUCGCCCACGUACGUGCUUAGGAUGCUGGCAUAAUGGCUUUAAGCGACC